AUGGUGGCCCAGUGGCAUUCGCCCACCCGGCUUUUCCGGAGGUUAAGAGCUCCCGGAAUAAGGCCUGGCCAAGCCCGUGCAGCCGCCGCCGGUAAUACCCGCGCCCGAGUGUGGCCCGCUAUUAUUGGGCCUAAAGCGUCCGUAGCCGGGCCCGCAAGUCCCUGGCGAAAUCCCACGGCUCAACCGUGGGGCUUGCUGGGGAUACUGCGGGCCUUGGGACCGGGAGAGGCGGAGGGUACUCCUGGGGUAGGGGUGAAAUCCUAUAAUCCCAGGAGGACCGCCAGUGGCGAAGGCGCUCCGCUGGAACGGGUCCGACGGUGAGGGACGAAGGCCAGGGGAGCGAACCGGAUUAGAUACCCGGGUAGUCCUGGCUGUAAAGGAUGCGGGCUAGGUGUCGGGCGAGCUUCGUGCUCGCUCGGUGCCGAAGGGAAGCCGUUAAGCCCGCCGCCUGGGGAGUACGGCCGCAAGGCUGAAACUUAAAGGAAUUGGCGGGGGAGCACUACAAGGGGUGGAGCGUGCGGUUUAAUUGGAUUCAACGCCGGGAACCUCACCGGGGGCGACGGCAGGAUGAAGGCCAGGCUGAAGGUCUUGCCGGACACGCCGAGAGGAGGUGCAUGGCCGCCGUCAGCUCGUACCGUGAGGCGUCCACUUAAGUGUGGUAACGAGCGAGACCCGCGCCCCCAGUUGCCAGUCCUCCCCGCUGGGGAGGAGGCACUCUGGGGGGACCGCCGGCGAUAAGCCGGAGGAAGGAGCGGGCGACGGUAGGUCAGUAUGCCCCGAAACCCCCGGGCUACACGCGCGCUACAAUGAGCGGGACAAUGGGACCCGACCCCGAAAGGGGAAGGUAAUCCCCUAAACCCGCUCCCAGUUCGGAUCGCGGGCUGCAACUCGCCCGCGUGAAGCUGGAAUCCCUAGUACCCGCGUGUCAUCAUCGCGCGGCGAAUACGUCCCUGCUCCUUGCACACACCGCCCGUCACUCCACCCGAGCGGGGUCUGGAUGAGGCCUGAUCUCCCUUCGGGGAGGCCGGGUCGAGUCUGGGCUCCGUGAGGGGGGAGAAGUCGUAACAAGGUAACAAUCACUAGUGAAUUCGCGGCCGCCUGCAGGUCGACCAUAUGGGAGAGCUCCCAACGCGUUGGAUGCAUAGCUUGAGUAUUCUAUAGUUCACCUAAAGACCA
rnacentral:rRNA from 1 species